rnacentral:lncRNA from 1 species
UACAUCCAUGACAUGCAAAGAGGAGGAGUUUAGUUUUAUAUUUUAAUCUCUGUCAAUUUAAAUUGCUGUCUGAUGAGAUUUUUUUAUUAUUAUUAUUUAUUAUUAUUAUAUAUAUUUUUUAACAUUUCCAGUAAGAAAUUCUACAAUGCACCAGCAAGCUGAAAAUCAAAGGGAGUACUAUUUUCCAUAAAUUGAAAAUUUAAACCAUGGAACUCACUGUCACAGAGCAUGACAAUGGAAGUCGAAAUUCUAAAUGUUCUAGAGAACAAUUCCAUGGAAGCAAAGUGUUUCAAGGGCUGCCAGCAACAGCAAUGCAUCUGCAGUCCAGGAAGUCCCUCUGGACUGUCCCACAAGGAGAAGAAAAGAGAGGUACUGUACAUAGGGUUUGGAGAGUCAGCAGCUGUCUCCAGGUAAACAUUCCCAGAUCUUGGCAUAAAGAUAGCUGGUCCAGUACAGCAUGACCAUCAGCUGUCUGUGCUUUCCCACAAUACCGUUAAUCUGCCUUAACCCUGGUGUGAAGGGAGUUAUUGUAGCAAUAAAAGAGUAGUUUGCUUGUCA